rnacentral:rRNA from 1 species
UACGGGGGGAGCAAGCGUUGUUCGGAUUUACUGGGCGUAAAGGGCGCGUAGGCGGCCACCGCAAGUCGGUUGUGAAAUCUCCGGGCUUAACCCGGAAAGGUCAAUCGAUACUGCGGGGCUAGAGUGCAGAAGGGGCAACUGGAAUUCUCGGUGUAGCGGUGAAAUGCGUAGAUAUCAAGAGGAACACCAGUGGCGAAGGCGAGUCCCUGGACGAUACCUGACACUGAGGCACGAAAGCCAAGGGAGCAAACAGG